rnacentral:lncRNA from 1 species
AAUCACACACACACACACACACACUAGAAGAAAGAAAGAACCGGCGGAGAAGAAGAAAAAGGGAAAGAAAAGAGGGAAGAAAAAGAAGAAGAAAAAGAAGAAAAGGAAGGAAAGGAAAAAGAAAGGAAAAGAGGUAGUGACUAUUCCAAUUUCAUUUUCAAUUUGUCUAAUUUCUUUAAAAGAUAUGGUAUGUUUUAUGCUUAAGUUUUUAGAGUUUUGAUUUUAUUUGUUUAAUUUUCAGAUUUUAAGGAGGGAAUAUAUAUGUUUUCAAGUCAAUAUUUUUGAAUUGGAGAUGCUAUUUACACUAAGGUAAGAAAUACCAAUUUUGGGCAAAACCCUAGAAUUUUCAUUUGGGUUUUUGAAUGAGUUUAGUUGACGGGAAAAUUUGUAAGGAUGAAAUACUCAUUUGAAGGCAUGAAUUUAUGGAUCAAGAUGGGAAAUUAAAUUGGUUAAAUUAUGAUUAUUAAUUUUACUAGUUUGGAAGAAGGAAUUAUUUUUAUGUUUGGAGUGAAGAUUAUUGUAAUGAAUUAGCUAUUAAGAAAUGGACUAGAAAGUGGAAUUAGUUUGAAGUGAUUAAAGGAAAUUGGGGAAAAUAUUAUUCAAGUAUCGAGAAGUCAAGUUUUAGUAUUCGAUUACUAGUAUUAAGAAAUACUUAGUAUGGAAGUUGUUAAAUUAGUUAUUUUAUAUCGUAUUUCAGGUGGUAACGUGAAAGCUAGGCAAUGCUGGUAAAAUUGAACCAGAUUGCUAUUCAUAGAUCUGUGAGUGGAAAAUCUACGUUUUCAAAAAGAAGAUUUCCUUUUUAUUUUAAAGCAUAUUAAUUACAUGAAAUGUCUUAUUUUCGAGAAUUAGUAAAUGAACAUGAUUGUUUUGAAAUUAUCACUUAAAUAAUUGAUGUGAUUAUCUUACUCUAGUGCACUGAGGGGCUACGGUCGUGUACUAGAGUCAUGUAUUUAACUCCUAUACACUGAGAGGCUACAGCCGUGUAUAAAGGUAACUCUUAUCCACUGAGGGGCUACGACCGUGUGUAAGGGUACCUAUUAUACACUGAGGGGCUACAGCCGUGUAUAAGGAUGAUUAUGUUGUUUUCAUCUUGUACACUGAGGGGCUACGGUCGUGUACAUAGUGUUGAUCAAACGGUUUAUGUGCAUAUGAUUUUAUAGCUUUCAGAUCAUCAGUAGAUGAUUACAUGGAGUAUAUUUGAUGUGAAUUUUAAGUAUAUAGCGGAUUAUUAGUUUUUAGCUUACAGUUUCCCGUUUACAGUUCAGCUUAUGGAUUUCAGAUGAUGAUUUUAGCUUAGUGAGUUUGUCUAAUGUUCUCACCCAUCUUGUAUUAAUUAUUAUCAUCUUUCUUUUAUUUAUCAGCUUGAGUCUAAUUUAUGAUUUAGUACCAGAAUUUUGAGUUUAUACGAUGUUAUGAUACAGACAUCACGAAUAAUGAGUACAUUAAGGUAAAUGUAGCUCUAUGUAUGUACGAACAGAUUAUAGAAUUCAGUUAUUCAGUUCUAAGAAUAAAGUUUUCAGUUUAUAGUAUUGAGUAACAACAAUAUUUCAUAGAUUAUCAUGGGUACCAAAAUUUGUUAUACUUUACAAUUAUUUAUCUCGAAUAAAGAACAAAGAAUAUUAUGAUGUAGUCAUGUUUUAGUUCUAAAGGUUUUAUCAGAUUUCAGAAUUCUCAUAGUGUUAAUAGAGCAAGAAUUUUAAGAAAAUAUGCAUAAAUGGAAAAAGUUUACUUAUUUGCAAAUUAUCCACUCACUGAGGUAUUAGCUCAUAUUGCUUUUACCUUAUCAGACAGAUAGUAGCUGAACUGAGCAUUACUGGGCCAGUUGAUCUAUCGAGUUGAACUAUAAAUUGUCAAGCAUUGUAUGACUCAUCUUAUCAGUGUAAUAGCUCAUAUUUUGGAAUAGACACGUCUUUUGGUCAGAAAUUAGUUCCAUGUUUUGAGCCUGCUAUGUUUUGUAUAUAUUAUGCAUUUUGGGUACUGUGGUUUAUAAAUUGUUGCAAAGGUCAAAUUACCAGUGUUGUAUUUGAAUAGUUGAUUUUCUGUGAGCCAGUGUACCCUAUUUUAAACUAUAUGUAUCUGUUUGGGAUAUUGGAUUAUAUAUUUCAGAUGGUUUUAGUCUAUAAUUCAGGGGGAACUCUGUCGAAAUUUUUACAAAGCAUAUCAUAGUCAAUACAAGUCAAUGUUGCCUUGAUGGUAGGUCUAGCACUUAACUGGUAUCUACCAUCGGCACACGACACGUGUCGGAUUUAUAAGGAUGAUUCAGGACGGGAUGUGUCAUUUAUCAUUUGGCAAGGAUAUCUCAAUACUUUUUUCAAUGAGAAAGCAGUGUGGCUAACACGUAUUUGUGUUCACAAGUCACAUAAUUUAUCAAAUGCAAAAUGUAAGGCUUAGAGAAAAAAUGAAGAGCAAACAGUAACUUGAAAAAAAGGAACAGUAAAAGAAGCUAGGAAAAAGAAGUGAUAAAGUGACAAAAUGCAAAAGUUGGUAGUGUUUUCAAAUUUCAAGCAACAGCGAUCAAUCUUCAUUUAAACAACCAGCCACAAUGAAAUAUGAAAGUUGACAAGUAUAAGAAAGCCAAGUAAAAUCGAGUGAAUUGUCCAAAUGGUCACUGAACUUUGUAAUAGUUUUUCAAAGGGUCACUGAACUUUAAAAAUCACCUAAAUGGUCACUGAACUUUGCAAAAGAUUUCUAUGGGGUUACUGAAUUUUAAAAAUCACCUAUAUGGUAACUGAACUUUGCAGCGACCUUGUGAAAAACUUUUGCGAAGUUCAGUGACCAUUUAGGUGAUUUUUAAAGUUUAGUGACCUCGUAAAAACCUUUUACAAAAUUCAGUAACCAUUUAGGUAAUUUUUAAAGUUCAGUGAUCCCUUGAAAAUUUUCUACAAAGUUCAGUGACCAUUUGAGCAAUUCACUCGAUUCUAUCCCAUCCUUAAUUUUGGAGACCAUACUAGAUUUGGUUACUUGUUUAUCCAUCAAUUUCUGGUUGGAUUGACAAUCUAAUGAUCAAUCCAUUCAUUGAUAAUGCGUCCAGCCUAUUUGGGUUAGGAUGUAAAAGGUUGCUGGUUUGUUUAGAAAAGAAUGAUCCAUUGGCGGGGAGAUAAAUUCUUUUUGUUGAGAGUGAAGAAAAGUAGUAGAAUGGUAAAGUGGAGAUGGAGGUGGUUGAAGGAGAAGAGAAUUGUUUUCAUUUCUUUGAUCUUCAUCCUAAGAAAGUAAAAAAAUUUGAUUAAGCUUUUGGCUUCUUUCAUUUUCACCAAAAGUCAAAUUGUCAUUAGCUUGUUUCUUAUUUCGAAUGUCAACCUUGUGUGGAUAAUAAAUGUUUGAAGAAUAAUUUCUUAGUUUGGUGUCAUUUUGUUGGAACUGCAGAGUGUGGUUUGAUAUCUUUAUUCUAAUGACAUCUUGAGUAAAUCACAUCUUGAAUAAAUAACUACAACAUUUUCGAACACUUCUAUUUACAUUUCAAAUGUUCAAAUGAAGCAAAAGAAAAUUUAUAAUAACAAUACAUGACCAUAAUUCAUGGCAACGAAGUAGACAUGUUAUGAAGUUACUUCUCAUGUUGAGGCAUUCUCCUACCAUAGAUCCCAAGGAAAAACUAUAGUAUUUGAAAAUCUAGAUUUCAUUUCUGAAAAAAGGAUGGAUAAAGAGGUGUACAAACACAUCUAUACAAAAUGUGUUACACACUCUCACAAAAAGCGAGUCCCACGUGAAUUUAAAAAAUGUCGGCUUGUGGUCUCCACCCCCUAUUGUGAGUAGUGAGUAAGGAAUCUUUUAAAAAAGUUUGUACAUAUAGUAUGAUCAAAAAAGGAUUACACAGUCUGGUUAAGGGAGGCGAUGGAGAAAGAACGUAGGCUAUGGUACGAUGAAGUAAAGAAAAAUCGACUAAUAUGGCUGGGAAAAAAGAGGAAACAUCUUAGCAUUUUGAUUAUUUUUUAGAUGACCUUUUGUUUCAAACAUGUUAUUCAAUUUAGUUUGCAUAAUCAAUUUGGUAGAGAGUAGGAGAAUCACUGUGUGUGAAUUUGUACCAAUUUUGUCAUCAUACUAGCUCACACACGAUCUUGUUGAUUUACACCAUCAUGCAUUUUCUUUUUGACACUAGAUUGAACAAAAUGAAAUUGUGUUUAUGAUCUUGGCAUGAAAUUGGAAGCAUCGACCCAAGCAUGGUUACCAACCCAAUAUAUUUUUUAGGGGACCCUUUUCAACGACAAUAUUCUAAAUAAAGAACUCGAACAUGAAGAACAUGGCCAUCGGGGCAAAGGUUGUCCAUACCAAUAACUUCUAAAAUGUAGACUCUGAAUCCUUCAAUUAGUACCAUAAUACACAAAUUUUGAAUGCAUAAUUUUUUAUUUUAUUAUUAUUUGGGGGGGGGGGGGCUACUUUAUGAAAUUGCCCCCAAAAUCAUAGAUUACUACAUAAAUUUAUUCAUGACUUUAGUAAUUUAGUUCUCACAUCACAUCUUUUGGUGAUAUUUUAUCGGUUCUCAAAACAUAUAUGCUUGAUCUUCAUUUCACAAAUUUCAUUAAUUAUGAUAUUCAUAUCCAAUAUCAUCACAUCACAAUAUAUAGUGUUACCUUCAAUUUAAUGAAGAUGAUCUUCAGAAGAAAUUUCCAAUUUCUGAAAAAUAUGAAAUAGUAACCAAAGAAGAACAUAACUUGACGGAAGAAGAUGGAUGAAAACUGAACAUGAAGAUCAAUCAAGAAAUUAUUUUUCAUCAGCAGUGAUACGAUAAUUGUUUCCUAUUGCGAUUUUCAAUUGGUUUUUUAUAUGAAAGGCAUUGAAUGCAAGCAUAAUGUUUGCAUUAUUUUCAGUUACAGAAAAUGGUAAGUUGUGUAAUUUUAGAAGGCAGUAUUUAUCAAUAUAUUUUACAUAUUACAAAUUGUAGUAAUUAGUGAAAUCUUAUUUUUUAAUAGGUUAGAUACGAUUUUCCCCCUUUUCCCAUUUGAAAGGUGCCCAAUAGAAGGAUAGGCCCAUAUAUCCAAAAUGGGCUCUCUCUCUAUAGGUUUAAGAGGCCCAUAUAUCAAAAAUGGGCUCUCUCUCUCUCUCUCUCUCUCUCU